CACAUCGGCAGGAUUUGGACCAAAGGACUAGGUCUGGGUGCAGGUUGGUCACUGCAAUUUCGGGAAUGUGAGCCUCUGAUUUAGGUCUACCCGCAUUUCCCAAUCCCAGGCUGCAUUCAGUGGACAUACGUCUAAGUGUGGAGGUGUUGACUA